rnacentral:rRNA from 1 species
UUUCCAGACUCCUACGGGAGGCAGCAGUGGGGAAUAUUGCACAAUGGGGGAAACCCUGAUGCAGCGACGCCGCGUGAGUGAAGAAGUAAUUCGUUAUGUAAAGCUCUAUCAGCAGGGAAGAAAAUGACGGUACCUGAGUAAGAAGCCCCGGCUAACUACGUGCCAGCAGCCGCGGUAAUACGUAGGGGGCAAGCGUUAUCCGGAUUUACUGGGUGUAAAGGGAGCGUAGACGGCAGUGCAAGUCCGGAGUGAAAGCCCGGGGCUCAACCCUGGGACUGCUCUGGAAACUGUAAAGCUGGAGUGCGGGAGGGGCAGGCGGAAUUCCUGGUGUAGCGGUGAAAUGCGUAGAUAUCAGGAGGAACACCGGCGGCAAAGGCGGCCUGCUGGACCGUACCUGACGCUGAGGCGCGAAAGCGUGGGUAGCGAACGGGAUUAGAUACCCUAGUAU